rnacentral:rRNA from 1 species
GAUGAACGCUGGCGGCGUGCCUAAUACAUGCAGGUCGAGCGAACCACUUCGGUGGUGAGCGGCGAACGGGUGAGUAACACGUAGGUGAUCUGCCCAUCAGACGGGGACAACGAUUGGAAACGAUCGCUAAUACCGGAUAGGACGAAAGUUUAAAGGUGCUUCUGGCACCGCUGAUGGAUGAGCUCGCGGCGCAUUAGCUAGUUGGUAGGGUAAAGGCCUACCAAGGCGACGAUGCGUAGCCGACCUGAGAGGGUGAACGGCCACACUGGGACUGAGACACGGCCCAGACUCCUACGGGAGGCAGCAGUAGGGAAUCUUCGGCAAUGGGCGAAAGCCUGACCGAGCAACGCCGCGUGAAUGAUGAAGGCCUUCGGGUUGUAAAAUUCUGUUAUAAGGGAAGAACGACUUUAGUAGGAAAUGGCUGGAGUGUGACGGUACCUUAUGAGAAAGCCACGGCUAACUACGUGCCAGCCGCCGCGGUAACAC